CGCCACUUGCUGCCUCCCCUGGGGAAUUCAGAAGUAGAGAAAUGGGAUGGCCACAGAUGACCUGCACAGAGGGCUAACUGGAAGCACCUAGGUAAAGGGAUUUCACACCAGGGUCAGCAGAAUGCGACGGCAUAGUCCAGGCUAGCCCGGACCUUGUCCACGGAGCAGACACAAAUCCCCCUCCCCGAGUGCAGCGCUGAUUCUGUUGAAUUAGUGCGGAUGAAGGAGUCCAUCGAGAAAGGCUGGUGGACGGCUAUAGACAUCUGUGUUGACGCUUCAUUUUCAGGGAAGCUGAGGGCUAAUCACUCAGCCUCCUUCUUAACCCUUUAUUGUGCCAAGAAAAUGUUUAUGGGAUGGCCUGCUGGUCAUAAACAAGCUGGUUCUUCCUCUAAUAUUUCCUGUGUACCUGAUCUCAGUAGUCAUCCUCCACACCACCCACCUGCAUCUCCUCCCCGUGGGCUCCCGGGUUCUGCCUUCUAUAGGAUCUCUCUCUAAAGGCUAAGCCAGUGAUGGUUGGCUCACUCUCUUGGACGUGUCGGGUUGAGGAGUGGCAUCCGGUGUUGCCCGUGGCAUCUGGGAAGAUGGCUGCUGAGAACUUCUGGGAUUUCCGGAGAAGGCUUCUGCACCUACUACAGCUUCUGCUCCUGUUAAAGUGAUUUCUAGUCGGGAAUUCCUGUUGGAGUCUCCAGCCAAAUGCCUGUCACU
rnacentral:lncRNA from 1 species